UUUUCUUAUUUUCUAAAAAAAUAAAUGUGAAACGUUCAACAGCCCUAAAAUUGUUGAUUAACUGCACCCCUCUGUCCUGUCAAAUGUGUCUUAUAGAUCUGUUUCCCAGGCAGCAUCUGAGCAUCUGGCAAAUGGCUUUGCCAGCCGUAUGUUUUUAUUUUUCCCAAAGGGGUACCACGCCAAGGCCCCUCCUCAACUCCAAGGCCAAGACCUCAGAUCUGCACAGACGUUUGGGGAGCAAAAAGAAGCAGGCAAGACCACAAGGUUGCAAAGGAUGCAUCUAUGAGACUUCACCAUGAAUUGGAAAAUGUGGAAGAAAAGCGAACAACAAUGGAAGACGAAAAUGAGAAACUGAGGCAACAGCUCAUAGAAGUCGAGAUAGCAAAACAAGCACUGCAGAAUGAACUGGAAAAAAACGAGGGAGAACAGGGCGGAGAAAAGGUCAGAACCCAGCUUUGCCCAAGUCUUUCAGAUGGUGAGGCCUGGCAACUGACAUCACUGUGCUCUUGAAUGAUCGUCAUAACAUGUUGAUAUUCGCACCAGCACAAGAUUUGGGACAAUUUUGCUAGCAGAAAAUAUGACUCUCUUCCCUACUAGAGCCAAAUGGUCCAACCACAAGAGCAGGAUCCAUAGAAUGUGACCAGCUGUUUCGGCGGUUUUCUGUUACUAUUUGUGAAGUCUUCAUUCUUGUCAUCUGCCAGCAGAAGAGUGGUGGCAGUUGCCAGAGGUUGGAGGAAAAAAUCAUGCGAGAAUUUACAUUCGAGAAAAUUCCAUUCAUUGAUUUCAUUAUUUCUGGGAAUUCAGAAAAGACCACCAUGAUCCUUUAGCCGCGAAAAUGCUGAGGCUGGCCUUGGAAACUGCUAGGAUUCGUCGGCAGGCGCAGCUUGCUUUUGAGAAGUCCUGCCCUGUGCCAUCUUGAGGCCUGAAUAUUUUGCCUAUGUGCUAAGUUCUUGAAAUAUUAAGUAGUGCUGUGAAAUUAACACAGAAAAUGAGAAUAAUUAAAACUGGAGGAGCAGUGAUAAAUCUUGAAGUCAUCACCCUGCCACAUUGAUCCUUAUAUGUCAGUGUUUCCUGUUUUGUUUUAUCCUUCCAGUUCUUAUCAUUAUGCAGAGUUAUUAUUUUUUUUUAUUUUUAAUGCAGCAGCAAUUACAUAAAUUCUGUUUUCCUGCUUUUUCUGCUUGACGCUGCAACAUAACUAUUUUUCCAUGUUGUUAUGCAGGCCUCAUAAUCAAGUUCAUGGGCUAUAUAAUUCCCUGUGAGAUGUAUGAUCAUUUAUUUAAACCUUGCUAUUGGCUAUUUCAAUCACAUGAUGCUGUUAUAAACGGAAUGAGCAACAGUGUCAGUGGGAGUGUGAAGUGGUACAGUCCUUUUGGGAAAGCAAUUUGGCAAUGUGUAUCACAGGCCUGAAAAAUGUUCAUUGCCUUAGAGCUAGUCAUUUCUCUUCUGGGAAUUUCUCAUAAGGAAAUAAUCUAAAGUGCAGACCCGGAUUUAUGCAUCAAGAUGGAAACUUUAUGUAUCAUAGAGGAAAGCUUGAAACAACUAAAUAUUCAAACAUAGGGGAAGCAUUAUGUAAAUGAUUACAUAGCAGCUCCAUGGAAUAUUAUGCAGUCAUUAAAACUGUUUAUGAAGAGCUCAUAAAUGGAAAAUGCUGAUGUUAUGAUUGAAAUAAGUGGGAUAUAAGAUUAUAUUGUUACUAUGAUCCCAGCUGUGUAAAAUUAGUUUCCCAAGUAGGCAUAGAAAAAGAUUAGAGAGAAAUACAUCAAAAUAUUAACAGUGGGUGGAAGAUGAGGGAUUUUAUUUUUCUUGCAACUUCCCAUGUCUUAAAAUCUUUUUACUUUGUUCUGAUACAAAUUUAACACACAUUUAUUGAAUAAAAUUGCAAGCAUUAAAGAAAUAGGUGAUGGAGAAAGUCCUGUGAAAGUGUUAGCCACUCAGUCGUAUCCGGCUCUUUGUGUUCCCAUGGACUAAACCCCACCAGGCUCCUCUGUCCGUGGAAUUCUCCAGGAAGAAUACUGGAGUGGGUUGCCAUCCCCUUCUCCAGGAGAUCUUCCUGACCCAGGAAUUGAACCUAGGUCUUCUGCACUGCAGGCAGUUCUUUACCAUCUGAGCCACCAGGGAAGCCCAUGUGUAUUCUAAGACAACUUGAUUUCUACAUAAUGCAAUUUUGGGAUAGUCUGCAUUAAAGAAUCGGGAUUUUUUUUUUUAAUUAAAAAGGGGGAUGGGGACUUCCCUGGUGGUCCAGAGAUUAAGAAUCCACUUUCCAAUGCAGGGGACUGGGUUCAAUCCCUGGUCAAGGAACUAAGAUCCCACAUGGCAUGGAACAACUAAGCCCCCGUGUGCUCUAGAGUUUGUGUGCCCCAGUGACUAUCUGACACUGCCAAAUAAAUAAAUACUUUAAGAAAAGAAAAGAAAGGAGGAUGAAGUCAGCUACUAGGAAAACUCAGCACUGCUGUGUACAUUAUCAGAUAGGCAUUACUAUCAAGGUCUGAAUUUCUUGGAUGCCUUAGAUGUGAAGUAAAAUCAGUUUAUUGAUUAGGUCCUUGUUAUUCUAGAUAAUUUAUAUUGACUGAAAAUUAUUUUUUAUAAGAAAGUUAAUAGCAGUGGUUAAGACUCUGAGCUCCCUAAUGCAGAGGACACAAAUUUGAUCCCUGAUUGGGGAAAUAAGAUCCUACAUGCCGCACGGUGUGACCAAAAAAAAAAAAAAAAGCCACAGCACAUAAUGAAUUCUUCAAGAAAGGAUGAGUUACAUAGAUGAUGGUAUAUAUACAUUCAAAGGAAUGCUGCAUAGUUGUUAAAGAUAAGAAUUCUGUGUUUACUGACACUGAAAACAUAUUCAACAUGUUAAUCAAGUGAUAAAAAUUAAUCUCUCAAAUAGAAACACACUAAGAUCUUAAUUUGUAAAUAUUGUUCUGUAUCUCUCUCUUUCUCUCCCUCUCACACAAAUAGAGACAUAAUAUUCUUGAAAUGGGUUUAUCUCUAACGUGGUUAUCUCCAUGGAGGAGGAACGUGGAUGAUCAUAAUUUUAUUUUUGUUUGUUUGAAUUGUC
rnacentral:lncRNA from 1 species